rnacentral:rRNA from 1 species
AGAACGAACGCUGGCGGCAUGCCUAAUACAUGCAAGUCGAACGAACUCUUCGGAGUUAGUGGCGCACGGGUGCGUAACGCGUGGGAAUCUGCCCCUUGGUUCGGAAUGACAGUUGGAAACGACUGCUAAUACCGGAUGAUGACGAAAGUCCAAAGAUUUAUCGCCAAGGGAUGAGCCCGCGUAGGAUUAGCUAGUUGGUGAGGUAAAGGCUCACCAAGGCAAACGAUCCUUAGCUGGUCUGAGAGGAUGAUCAGCCGAC